GGCUGCUCCUGCCGCUGCUAACGACGAUACUCCUAUAUUCCCUUUCUGGGCUCAGGAACAUUUAGCGCGACAGGAGGAAGGAAUAACCAGAGCAGGGCUUUGAAUCAUAUGCCUAACCUAUCGACCCAGCUGAGCACACCUCCUCUCCUCUGUGAAUGCACUCACUUACAGCAUGGACUCCGCAGGGGAAAGAGAGGAAGGGUGGAUGGAAGACCAGUGGGAGAAAUGGGACUAAACAGGGCAAUUGAUGCUUUGGCAGGACAAAUCCCUCUUUCCUGAUUGGUGUGGAGGAAGGAAGGGAACUCUGACCUUACUGGGAAGGAGUGGAACUCUGACCCUACCCGGGAAGGAUGGGAACUCUAAACCUACCAUGGA